UUGUGCAAUGGCUGAUGUCUGAGUGAUGUCUGAGUGAUGUCUGAGUGAUGUCUGAGUGAUGUCUGAGUGAUGUCUGAGUGAUGUCUGAGUGAUGUCUGAGUGAUGUCUGAGUGAUGUCUGAGCUUUGGUGUGUUUUAAACUGCGUGUGUUCAUUGUAAUCCCUAUCAACAUGUUAAGAGCACCAACUGGCUGUGUUGAACAGUGUUGGGAACACCACAACUCUCAGAUGCGACGACCUUUUGCCUACAGAAUGGACUCAUUUUCCCUGAGGUUGCCUUAACCGCAUGAUCGACCUGGCUAUGACCCAAGAACUGUUGUACCUAGACCGGUGCGGCCUUUCAAAGCUCCCUGGUCCUGUCGCAUCUGAGAGUUGUGGUGUUGUCCCAGUGUUCAGCCUUCUGAUCCGAACUCCUAUAAAAGGAUUCGGAAGACUGCUGCUUCCCCCUUCAUUCCUCAGACUCCUGAACAGGCUGGGUGUGUUCCUGCUGGAGUACCUUACCCUAGUUUACUUCCACUACCUCCCCUUUCAGUCUCCAAGUAAGUUCCAGGCAGGGCUUCUCUCAGAUUGAAUGUCUGAAGACCAACGGUUCCCACUUCCUGAGGGUGCAGUGGCGGCAGGUUCUAUUCCAGCCCCACUCCCUGCUACAGCAGCCCCACCCUGAGUUGUUAGACCAGAGCCUAGCCAGGAAGGGCUUGAGGCUAAUUAUGGUGAGCUGUUCAUCACUGAUCCCUGCUGGCACCAUCAGCCAUUUCAGAACCUGCUAUGAGCAUGGGAAUGACCAAUGUAACUCGGCCAGCUUCAUCUGGUACCAUCCUACUGUCACAUACAAACCGCUGUUUCCUGAACCCAGUGAUACCAAGGUAAAGAGGACUCUAGCUCUGCCAAGGGUCAGGUUGGCUCCAGUCCUUCCCAGCAGAGCCAGGGAGUAACUAUGGUUUUCAUGACAGUACCAUCAUGAAACCACAGGUAUAUAUUUUUAAAGCCAUUUUCUGUGCAGUAUAAUAAACUAAAGCAUGACUAACUUGUUCUGGGUGUCUGAUGCUCCCCAGGUUGUAGCUGGUUCCAGUUCUUCUCAGGUCAUCUCUAGUUCUGACCCUCAGAACCUUUGACAGGAUGUUCUAGACCCGUGGUCCCCUGGCUUAAUCAGUGCUCUCUGGAAUGAGUCAGAACACCAUCCAUCGACACUAACCUGCAUUCCUAUGUUUUCAUGACUUAAUAAAUGAUACAAUGUUUCUUUUUUGUCUAUUGACUAAAGAACUGAUUGGCUUUCUACAGUUU